rnacentral:misc_RNA from 1 species
GGGGUAUAGGGGUGCACCAUGUCAAAUCAAAGUGCCCUUCUACGCCGUUCUUUAAAUGCAGUUCACCAGAUUGCUUCCUUUGUUAUGAAUUUAAUCCUUUAUCAAUUUGCUUAUCUGAAAGAAGAAAAAGAAUACGAUAUAUUCACAGGAUUUUGUGUGUUUCAAUGUUUAAUUUUCCAUUUAAAUUAAAACAUAGAUCACAGGUUGUAUACAGUGAUAAGAGUUUGUGUAUGCG